rnacentral:rRNA from 5 species
UGGCCUCAGAUCAGGGA